rnacentral:rRNA from 1 species
UACGAAGGGGGCUAGCGUUGCUCGGAAUCACUGGGCGUAAAGGGUGCGUAGGCGGGUCGUUAAGUCAGGGGUGAAAUCCUGGAGCUCAACUCCAGAACUGCCUUUGAUACUGAGGAUCUUGAGUUCGGGAGAGGUGAGUGGAACUGCGAGUGUAGAGGUGAAAUUCGUAGAUAUUCGCAAGAACACCAGUGGCGAAGGCGGCUCACUGGCCCGAUACUGACGCUGAGGCACGAAAGCGUGGGGAGCAAACAGG